rnacentral:lncRNA from 1 species
GAGGGGGGGAUGGGGCUUACUUGUUCUAGCUUUUUUUUUACAGACCACACAGAAUGCAGGUGUCUUGACUUCAGGUCAUGUCUGUUCUUUGGCAAGUAAUAUGUGCAGUACUGUUCCAAUCUGCUGCUAUUAGAAUGCAUUGUGACGCGACUGGAGUAUGAUUAAAGAAAGUUGUGUUUCCCCAAGUGUUUGGAGUAGUGGUUGUUGGAGGAAAAGCCAUGAGUAACAGGCUGAGUGUUGAGGAAAUGGCUCUCUGCAGCUUUAAGUAACCCGUGUUUGUGAUUGGAGCCGAGUCCCUUUGCUGUGCUGCCUUAGGUAAAUGUUUUUGUUCAUUUCUGGUGAGGGGGGUUGGGAGCACUGAAGCCUUUAGUCUCUUCCAGAUUCAACUUAAAAUCUGACAAGAAAUAAAUCAGACAAGCAACAUUCUUGAAGAAAUUUUAACUGGCAAGUGGAAAUGUUUUGAACAGUUCCGUGGUCUUUAGUGCAUUAUCUUUGUGUAGGUGUUCUCUCUCCCCUCCCUUGGUCUUAAUUCUUACAUGCAGGAACAUUGACAACAGCAGACAUCUAUCUAUUCAAGGGGCCAGAGAAUCCAGACCCAGUAAGGAAAAAUAGCCCAUUUACUUUAAAUCGAUAAGUGAAGCAGACAUGCCAUUUUCAGUGUGGGGAUUGGGAAGCCCUAGUUCUUUCAGAUGUACUUCAGACUGUAGAAGGAGCUUCCAGUUGAAUUGAAAUUCACCAGUGGACAAAAUGAGGACAACAGGUGAACGAGCCUUUUCUUGUUUAAGAUUAGCUACUGGUAAUCUAGUGUUGAAUCCUCUCCAGCUUCAUGCUGGAGCAGCUAGCAUGUGAUGUAAUGUUGGCCUUGGGGUGGAGGGGUGAGGUGGGCGCUAAGCCUUUUUUUAAGAUUUUUCAGGUACCCCUCACUAAAGGCACUGAAGGCUUAAUGUAGGACAGCGGAGCCUUCCUGUGUGGCAAGAAUCAAGCAAGCAGUAUUGUAUCGAGACCAAAGUGGUAUCAUGGUCGGUUUUGAUUAGCAGUGGGGACUACCCUACCGUAACACCUUGUUGGAAUUGAAGCAUCCAAAGAAAAUACUUGAGAGGCCCUGGGCUUGUUUUAACAUCUGGAAAAAAGGCUGUUUUUAUAGCAGCGGUUACCAGCCCAAACCUCAAGUUGUGCUUGCAGGGGAGGGAAAAGGGGGAAAGCGGGCAACCAGUUUCCCCAGCUUUUCCAGAAUCCUGUUACAAGGUCUCCCCACAAGUGAUUUCUCUGCCACAUCGCCACCAUGGGCCUUUGGCCUAAUCACAGACCCUUCACCCCUCACCUUGAUGCAGCCAGUAGCUGGAUCCUUGAGGUCACGUUGCAUAUCGGUUUCAAGGUUAUGCCCAAUUCGUCUUAUUACCUCUGAGUCGACACACCUCCUACUAUUUAUUGAAUACUUUGAUUUUAUGAAAUAAAAACUAAAUAUCUCUCA